UACGGAGGGUGCGAGCGUUGUCCGGAAUCAUUGGGCGUAAAGGGCGCGUAGGUGGCGGGACAAGCGUGCGGUGAAAGCCUGGGGCUCAACCCCGGGUCGGCCGUGCGAACUGUUUUGCUUGAGCACUGUAGAGGCAGGCGGAAUUCCGGGUGUAGCGGUGGAAUGCGUAGAGAUCCGGAAGAACACCGGUGGCGAAGGCGGCCGCCUGGGCCACGCCUGACGCUGAGCCGCGAAAGCGUGGGGAGCGAUCCGG
rnacentral:rRNA from 1 species